rnacentral:lncRNA from 1 species
AAUCGAUAAUGAUAAUAUGCUUAGGCUUCGUUUAGAAUUAUGGUUUUGUUUCCGUAAGUAAUAUUGCGUUUCAUAUAUGCUGAUGAGUCGGUUAUGAGAAUGAUGAAGUAUAUCCGUAUAUGUUUUUAUCCCAACUCUGUUUUAUCUAAUCGUAUCAGAUAACUUCAAUACCAAACUAAGUUUUAGUCGUUUUCUAAUUCAGGUUUGAGAAAUGGAAUACAACAACUGGGCCUGAUAAUUAGCAGUGAGAUGAUUGUUAAUUUUCGAGUUGAAGUUCAACAAAUUAAAGUUUAAUGACUAAACCACAAGACAUUAAUUUAAGAACCAUUGGUG